AGUGAAGCGGCAACAGCUCAAAUUUGAAAUCUGGCCUCGGCCCGAGUUGUAAUUUGUAGAGGAUGCUUUUGGCGCGGCGCCUUCCGAGUUCCCUGGAACGGGACGCCAGAGAGGGUGAGAGCCCCGUACGGUUGGAUGCCAAGCCUCUGUAAAGCUCCUUCGACGAGUCGAGUAGUUUGGGAAUGCUGCUCAAAAUGGGAGGUAAAUGCCUUCUAAAGCUAAAUACUGGCCAGAGACCGAUAGCGCACAAGUAGAGUGAUCGAAAGAUGAAAAGCACUUUGAAAAGAGGGUUAAAUAGCACGUGAAAUUGUUGAAAGGGAAGCGCUCAUGACCAGACGUGUGCCUCGUGAAUCAUCCGGCGUUCUCGCCGGUGCACUUCGCCUGGCACAGGCCAGCAUCGGUUUUCCCAGGGGGAUAAAAGCCGCGGGAACGUAGCUCUUCCGGGAGUGUUAUAGCCCGUGGCACAAUGCCCUUGGGGGGACCGAGGCCCGCGCUCCGCAAGGAUGCUGGCGUAAUGGUCAUCAGCGACCCGUCUUGAAACACGGACCAAGGAGUCAAGCAUUAGGGCGAGUGUUUGGGUGUCAAACCCGCACGCGAAAUGAAAGUGAACGCAGGUGAGAGCUUCGGCGCAUCAUCGACCGAUCCUGAUGUAUUCGGAUGGAUUUGAGUAAGAGCCUUACCGCUUGGACCCGAAAGAUGGUGAACUAUGCCUGGAUAGGGUGAAGCCAGAGGAAACUCUGGUGGAGGCUCGCAGCGGUUCUGACGUGCAAAUCGAUCGUCAAAUCUGGGCAUGGGGGCGAAAGACUAAUCGAACCAUCUAGUAGCUGGUUACCGCCGAAGUUCCCUCAGGAUAGCAGUGUUGUUUUCAGUUUUAUGAGG
rnacentral:rRNA from 1 species